UAAAGCCAAAGACCUCCUAAGCCGUCAUACGCUCACGGAGGCACGAAGCCCAAACACGAAAGUAGCUUUACCAAACAUGCCCGACUCCACGAAAGCUGGGAAACAAACUGGGAUUAGAUACCCCACUAUGCCCAGCCCUAAACUUAGAUGAAAUUUUACAAAAUCAUCCGCCAGGGGACUACAAGCACAGCUUAAAACCCAAAGGACUUGGCGGUGCCUCAGAUCCACCUAGAGGAGCCUGUUCUAGAACCGAUAAUCCCCGUUAAACCUCACCACCCCUUGUUUUUCCCGCCUAUAUACCGCCGUCGCCAGCUUACCCUAUGAAGGUUUAACAGUAAGCAAAAUGGGUUCAACCCAAAACGUCAGGUCGAGGUGUAGCGCAUGGGGUGGGAAGAAAUGGGCUACAUUUUCUACCACAGAAUAUUACGAAUGGUGUCCUGAAAUAUAAUACCUGAAGGAGGAUUUAGUAGUAAAAAGCAAAUAGAGUGUCUUUUUGAAUUAGGCUCUGAGGCGCGCACACACCGCCCGUCACUC
rnacentral:rRNA from 1 species